AAUAGAUACCCUGGUAGUCCACGCCCUAAACGAUGUCGACUAGGUGUUGGGGAAGGAGACUUCCUUAGUACCGCAGCUAACGCGUGAAGUCGACCGCUUGGGGAGUACGGUCGCAAGAUUAAAACUCAAAGGAAUUGACGGGGACCCGCACAAGCGGUGGAUGAUGUGGAUUAAUUCGAUGCAACGCGAAAAACCUUACCUACCCUUGACAUGGUCGGAAGCCCGAUGAGAGUUGGGUGUGCCCGAAAGGGAGCCGACACACAGGUGCUGCAUGGCUGUCGUCAGCUCGUGUCGUGAGAUGUUGGGUUAAGUCCCGCAACGAGCGCAACCCUUGCCAUUAGUUGCCACAUUCAGUUGGGCACUCUAAUGGGACUGCCGGUGACAAACCGGAGGAAGGUGGGGAUGACGUCAAGUCCUCAUGGCCCUUAUGGGUAGGGUCCUCACACGUCAUACAAUGGCGCAUACAGAGGGGUUUGCCAACCCGGCGAGGGGGGUAGCCGAAUCCCGAGAAACGUGCGUCGUAGUCCGGAUCGGAGU
rnacentral:rRNA from 1 species